rnacentral:rRNA from 1 species
UACGGGGGGGGCAAGCGUUGUUCGGAAUUACUGGGCGUAAAGGGCUCGUAGGCGGCCAACUAAGUCCGACGUGAAAUCCCCAGGCUUAACCUGGGAACUGCGUCGGAUACUGGAUGGCUUGAAUCCGGGAGAGGGAUGCGGAAUUCCAGGUGUAGCGGUGAAAUGCGCAGAUAUCAGGAGGAACACCGGUGGCGAAGGCGGAUCUCUGGGCCGAUACUGACGCUGAGGAGCGAAAGCGUGGGGAGCGAACAGG